GAUGAACGCUAGCGGCAGGCUUAAUACAUGCAAGUCGAGGGGCAGCACGGUUAGCAAUAACUGGUGGCGACCGGCGCACGGGUGCGUAACACGUAUACAAUCUACCUUAAACAGGGGAUAGCCUUUCGAAAGAGAGAUUAAUACCCCGUAAUAAAUUGAACGGCAUCGUUUGAUUUUGAAAGCUCCGGCGGUUUGAGAUGAGUAUGCGUCUGAUUAGCUAGUUGGUGAGGUAACGGCUCACCAAGGCGACGAUCAGUAGGGGAUCUGAGAGGACUAACCCCCACACUGGCACUGAGAUACGGGCCAGACUCCUACGGGAGGCAGCAGUAGGGAAUAUUGGUCAAUGGAUGCAAGUCUGAACCAGCCAUGCCGCGUGCAGGAAGAAGGCCUUCUGGGUUGUAAACUGCUUUUGCCAGGGGAUAAAAUUUCCAUGCGUGGAAAACUGAAGGUACCUGGUGAAUAAGCCACGGCUAACUACGUGCCAGCAGCCGCGGUAAU
rnacentral:rRNA from 1 species